CGACGUGGAUAACCUGCCUCACACAGGGGGAUAACAGUUAGAAAUGACUGCUAAUACCGCAUAAGCGCACGGCAUCGCAUGAUGCAGUGUGAAAAACUCCGGUGGUGUGAGAUGGAUCCGCGUCUGAUUAGGUAGUUGGUGGGGUAACGGCCCACCAAGCCGACGAUCAGUAGCCGACCUGAGAGGGUGACCGGCCACAUUGGGACUGAGACACGGCCCAA
rnacentral:rRNA from 1 species